rnacentral:sRNA from 1 species
GCGGGAGCUUGCUCCCUGAGGUUAGCGGCGGACGGGUGAGUAACACGUGGGCAACCUGCCUAUAAGACUGGGAUAACUUCGGGAAACCGGAGCUAAUACCGGAUAAUUCAUAUCUACUCAUGUAGAUAUGCUGAAAGACGGUUUUCGCUGUCACUUAUAGAUGGGCCCGCGGCGCAUUAGCUAGUUGGUGAUUUAUCGGCUCACCAAGGCGACGAUGCGUAGCCGACCUGAGAGGGUGAUCGGCCACACUGGUCCCGCGACACGGGGAAGACUCCUACUUGAGUCGNNUGUGGGGAAUUC